CGUGGGUAACCUGCCUUAUAGUGGGGGAUAGCCUUCGAAAGGAAGAUUAAUACCGCAUAAGAUUGUAGUAUCGCAUGAUAUAGCAAUUAAAGGAGCAAUCCGCUAUAAGAUGGACCCGCGUCGCAUUAGCUAGUAGGUGAGGUAAUGGCUCACCAAGGCGACGAUGCGUAGCCGACCUGAGAGGGUGAUCGGCCACAUUGGGACUGAGACACGGCCCAGACUCCUACGGGAGGCAGCAUG
rnacentral:rRNA from 1 species